AACGAACGCUGGCGGCAGGCCUAACACAUGCAAGUCGAGCGCCCUUUCGUGGUUUCUGCGGACUGGUGAGUAACGCGUGGGAAUAUGCCCUUCUCUACGUAAUAUCCUCGGUAAACUGAGAUUAAUACCUUAUACGCCCUGUGGGGGUAAGAUUUAUCGGGGAAGGAUUAGCCCGCGUUUUAUUAGGUAGUUGGUUGGGUAAUUGCCUACCAUGCCGACGAUCCAUAGAUGGUUUGAGAGGAUGAUCAGCCACACUGGGACUGAGACACGGGCCAGAAUCGUACGGGAGGGAGGAGUGGGGAAUAUUAGAAAAUGGGGGAAAACCUGAUCAAGCCAUGGCGGGUGAGUGAUGAAGGGAUUAGGGUUGUAAAGCUAUUUCAGAUGGGAAGAUAAUGACGGUAACAGGAGAAGAAGCACCGGCUAACUACGUG
rnacentral:rRNA from 1 species